rnacentral:rRNA from 1 species
GGCUAGAGUUUGAUCAUGGCUCAGGAUGAACGCUGGCGGCGUGCCUAACACAUGCAAGUCGAGCGAAGCACUUUGCUUUGAAUCUUUCGGGAGGACGAGUGAUUUGACUGAGCGGCGGACGGGUGAGUAACGCGUGGGCAACCUGCCUCACACAGGGGGAUAACAGUUAGAAAUGACUGCUAAUACCGCAUAAGGCCACAGCACCGCAUGGUGCAGGGGUAAAAACUCCGGUGGUGUGAGAUGGGCCCGCGUCUGAUUAGGUAGUUGGUGAGGUAACGGCUCACCAAGCCGACGAUCAGUAGCCGACCUGAGAGGGUGACCGGCCACAUUGGGACUGAGACACGGCCCAAACUCCUACGGGAGGCAGCAGUGGGGAAUAUUGCACAAUGGGGGAAACCCUGAUGCAGCGACGCCGCGUGAGCGAUGAAGUAUUUCGGUAUGUAAAGCUCUAUCAGCAGGGAAGAAACUGACGGUACCUGACUAAGAAGCACCGGCUAAAUACGUGCCAGCAGCCGCGGUAAUACGUAUGGUGCAAGCGUUAUCCGGAUUUACUGGGUGUAAAGGGAGCGUAGACGGACUUGCAAGUCUGAAGUGAAGGCCCGGGGCUCAACCCCGGGACUGCUUUGGAAACUGUAGUCUAGAGUGCUGGAGAGGUAAGUGGAAUUCCUAGUGUAGCGGUGAAAUGCGUAGAUAUUAGGAGGAACACCAGUGGCGAAGCGGCUUACUGGACAGUAUCUGACGUUGAGGCUCGAAAGCGUGGGGAGCAAACAGGAUUAGAUACCCUGGUAGUCCACGCCGUAAACGAUGACUGCUAGUGUCGGGGAGCAAAGCUCUUCGNGCGCAGCUAACGCAUAGNAGUCACUGGGGGA